UGGGGAAUAUUGCACAAUGGGGGAAACCCUGAUGCAGCGACGCCGCGUGAACGAAGAAGGUAUUCGUAUCGUAAAGUUCUGUCCUAUGGGAAGAUAAUGACAGUACCAUAGAAGAAAGCUCCGGCUAAAUACGUGCCAGCAGCCGCGGUAAUACGUAUGGAGCGAGCGAUGUCCGGAAUUAUUGGGCGUAAAGGGUACGCAGGCGGUUUAAUAAGUCGAAUGUUAAAGAUCGGGGCUCAACCCCGUAAAGCAUUGGAAACUGAUAAACUUGAGUAGUGGAGAGGAAAGUGGAAUUCCUAGUGUAGUGGUGAAAUACGUAGAUAUUAGGAGGAAUACCAGUAGCGAAGGCAACUUUCUGGACACAAACUGACGCUGAGGUACGAAAGCGUGGGGAGCAAACAGG
rnacentral:rRNA from 1 species